UGGAAACACAGCACUCAACCCCUUCACUGACCCCUGUGGGGAACGAAAGGAGACCGGGCGCUAGGCAGCUCAUUUUGGAGAUAGGAAACUAAUCCAGCUAGUGAUCAGACAGAACCAACUCACUAGCAACAUGCUCCUUUGAAUGAGGUCAACUGUCUGCUCACAGCCAUGAUGUCAGUUCUCGAGGGUUAUAUUUAAUAUGCUUCUCACACUACAGAGAAAAAAAAAUGACUACAUUAGAGGUGAGGUAAGUUAGAAUACUUAUCACUCGAUAUCUAUUUCUGUGCUGGAGGUU
ensembl:lncRNA